UCGAACCUGGGAUUCCCCCGAACCACCUCUACCCUACCCCCGCCCCCUUCAUCCCUCCGCAGCGCCCCUGUCCGUAAUGCAGGUCAGAUCCUGCUGGGACCCGCCCUCUUCCUUCGUUCCGGGGUCUUCAGGCCACCUAGGAAGUUGCUGUCAGGAUCCCAAAUCAAGGCCGCGAGUCCACCCUGCUGCCAUCCCUGCCCCUCUCCCCCACCUCCCCUCCCUUCCCCGGCCAGCUCUCCGCAGACUAUCUAAUUAAUACUCGUUUAGCCAUAGACACUAAGACGCAGAAAUGCGUUCAGUAAUGCAAGCAAUGAGGGUUAUUUUAUUUUAGAUACUAAAGGCAGGGGGGACAAUUAUACAAGCUAAAGUCCAUCGAUUUCUACAGAAACAAGGAAUAGAAAAAUCUUUCUACCUCCUCCAGCUGAAUUAUGUUGGCUGUUUUAAAAACAAACAAGCCCAUCUUCAAACAGUGGGGAGUUAGCAGCCAAGCUUCCCCAACUCACUGUAAUUUUCAGCUACUUCUACUGAAGAUUUGAUUUUUAUUCUUGUGUUCCCAAUUUUAGAAUCACAUCUAGCUCUGCAAGGGACCCUUAUGUCAGAGAUCUUCAACUGUAUUGAUUUUCAGAUGACUUUAACUAUAAAUCACACACCCCCCAAACUAUAUCUUAACUUUAACAAAUCCUCAGCUCCAUGAAGACAUAGCUGGAUCCCAUGGUGUUUGAACUGAAAUGAUAAGUGGCAGCCCUCUCAUGGAACAGCAUUGAUUUUUAAAUCAUAUCAACCUGAAUCCACCUUCAAGCACUACCCUGAGAAUCCCUUCCCAUCGUAUGGGUGAACGAUGCAGGGGAGAGAAAGGAAAAGGUGAAGUAUACCCUCCCUGACCUCAUCCCCAACAUCAGAGGACAUGGGAUACUGCCCUGCUCUUCCUAAUGCACCAGAGCCUCCGCCUCCUUCCCUUCUCCUUACAGCCUCCCUUAGCACCUUCGUUCUCAGCCACAGGCUUCCUGAGUCCACCCAGGAAAACAAAAGGCCUGCAAUUAGAUGGGCCCUCUCUCCUUGGGAAGAACAAAUAUGACCAUUAAGCAUGUCCCUGGACAGUGGAAGGUGAAGAAGGAUCUCAUCCUCCAGCCCAAAGGACUAAUGGAGGAUUCCUGGUAGGAACAUGUGGCGCUCGGCCAGAGUCACCAUCCGUGUUCCACUGGUUUGUUGUCUCACUGCUGUCUCUCACCGAGUUCCUUUUAUACCUGCAAUUGUAACCGAGCCUAUGUUAGAUGAAUCAUAAGGCGUUUGCUUUACUUGUUUUCGUUUAUCGUGGUCCUUUGCUUCCUCCUUGCAUGCCUGUUUGCAUAUAGUCCUUUUGGUGGAAGGGAGUCACUUGUCAUUAAUUAACUUUAUAUCCUAGCCCCGAGGCUGCCCGGAAGAUUAAUGAACAUGUUUUUCUUUCAAAGAACAAUGAUCCUUAGGUCAGGCAGACCUCUUUGAUGUCAUCCAGAAGUUUGAUCAGGCUGGGCCAAGGAAUCCAAACAGCUUUGAUCAUUGGGGUUCUUACCUCCCUGCAUACUUACCCUCCCGUAGAGGCCCCAGCUGUGGUCCUGAAUUGAUUCAGAACUUUCAGUGUAUAUUUCUGAGGCCUUUAAAAAAAAAAAUGAUCCUUUAAUAUAGCUACUGAAAAGUUCUGGAAACAAUGAGUAUCCUUAGUAACAAAUUAGGGUUACUAAAUGUCACUUCCCUCCAGAGAGAACUAGGGCUUUUUGGAGAAGGAUGAUUUCAUAAACUGAAUAAGAUAACCCCAGAAUAUCUCAUCCUACCAGAAAGCAAGGAUGUUAUCAAAGACUUCUGAGGUCCUGUCAUAAGCUGGGGCAAAACUGAGACAAUUUAAACAUCAUUAAAGGCAGAAACUACAAUGACUCAAAACACUUCAAUUAUGUUGAAAUCUAUUUGCUCAUAAUGUUCUUUUAAAAACUACAUUGAUUAUCUUUGAAGAAUGCUUAGAAGCCCAACUCACUAUUUUCAAAAGCUGGAAAAAAAGGAAAGGAAUCAAGCAUUUAUUACCUUGACUUUUCUGUAUAAACUAUACCUCAGUAUAAGCAAAUAAUUGCUGGAGAGUUUCUCUUUGUAAAAGUAUUGCAGCUAAUAAAUGAAGAAGGGGCAAUAGAAUUAGAAUGUUGCCAUUCUGCCUUCCUUAAUGAAUUAAUGGAUCUAGACACUGAAUGUACGUGGCUGAUGAAAUAUUAGAGAGCGAGGGAAAGAGAAACAGCCUGACAUUCUAAGCCUCCUGAUGGAAAUCCACAAUACUACCAACCUAUGACAUGUUAUAGAGAGAGAAAAAAAAAAACAAAAAACGUGAACCUGAACAAGCUUGUACAUCACACGUUAGUAAUCUGCCUCCUUGGAGCCAAAUCUGGCCAACUGCCUGCUUUUAUAAAUAAAGUUUUAUUGAAACACA